UACGUAGGGUGCGAGCGUUAAUCGGAAUUACUGGGCGUAAAGCGUGCGCAGGCGGUUUGUUAAGACAGGUGUGAAAUCCCCGGGCUCAACCUGGGAAUGGCGCUUGUAACUGGCAGACUGGAGUGCGUCAGAGGGGGGUGGAAUUCCACGUGUAGCAGUGAAAUGCGUAGAGAUGUGGAGGAACACCGAUGGCGAAGGCAGCCCCCUGGGAUGACACUGACGCUCAGGCACGAAAGCGUGGGGAGCAAACAGG
rnacentral:rRNA from 1 species